rnacentral:tRNA from 1 species
AGGCCAGUAGCUCAAUUAGGCAGAGUAGCGGAUUCCAAAUCCGUUGGUUGGGGGUUCGAUUCCCUCCUGGCCUGCCA